UUCCCUGGAACGGGACGCCGGAGAGGGUGAGAGCCCCGUACAGUUGGACACCAAGCCUUUGUAAAGCUCCUUCGACGAGUCGAGUAGUUUGGGAAUGCUGCUCAAAAUGGGAGGUAAAUGCCUUCUAAAGCUAAAUACCGGCCAGAGACCGAUAGCGCACAAGUAGAGUGAUCGAAAGAUGAAAAGCACUUUGAAAAGAGGGUUAAACAGUACGUGAAAUUGUUGAAAGGGAAGCGCUCGUGACCAGACUUGCGCCCGGCGGAUCAUCCGGCCUUCUGGCCGGUGCACUCCGCCGGGCUCAGGCCAGCAUCGGUUCUUCCGGGGGGACAAAAGCGGCGGGAACGUAGCUCCUCCGGGAGUGUUAUAGCCCGCCGCAGCAUACCCCCGGGGGGACCGAGGACCGCGCUUCGGCAAGGAUGCUGGCGUAAUGGUCACCAGCGACCCGUCUUGAAACACGGACCAAGGAGUCAAGCAUUAGGGCGAGUGUUUGGGUGUCAAACCCGCACGCGAAAUGAAAGUGAACGCAGGUGAGAGCUUCGGCGCAUCAUCGACCGAUCCUGAUGUUUUCGGAUGGAUUUGAGUAAGAGCCUUACCGCUUGGACCCGAAAGAUGGUGAACUAUGCUUGGAUAGGGUGAAGCCAGAGGAAACUCUGGUGGAGGCUCGCAGCGGUUCUGACGUGCAAAUCGAUCGUCAAAUCUGAGCAUGGGGGCGAAAGACUAAUCGAA
rnacentral:rRNA from 1 species